GAUGAACGCUGGCGGCGUGCCUAAUACAUGCAAGUCGAGCGAACAGACGAGGAGCUUGCUCCUCUGACGUUAGCGGCGGACGGGUGAGUAACACGUGGAUAACCUACCUAUAAGACUGGGAUAACUUCGGGAAACCGGAGCUAAUACCGGAUAAUAUAUUGAACCGCAUGGUUCAAUAGUGAAAGACGGUUUUGCUGUCACUUAUAGAUGGAUCCGCGCCGCAUUAGCUAGUUGGUAAGGUAACGGCUUACCAAGGCAACGAUGCGUAGCCGACCUGAGAGGGGGAGCGGCCACACUGGAACUGAGACACGGUCCAGACUCCUACGGGAGGCAGCAGUAGGGAAUCUUCCGCAAUGGGCGAAAGCUUGACGGAGCAACGCAGAGUGAGUGAUGAAGGUCUUCGGAUCGUAAAACUCUGUUAUUAGGGAAGAACAAAUGUGUAAGUAACUAUGCACGUCUUGACGGUACCUAAUCAGAAAGCCACGGCUAACUACGUG
rnacentral:rRNA from 1 species